rnacentral:rRNA from 1 species
GACAGAGGUGGCAAGCGUUGUUCGGAAUUACUGGGCGUAAAGAGUCUGUAGGUGGUUUGUCAAGUCUUUGGUGAAAGGCCGUAGCUUAACUAUGGGAAUGCCAAAGAGACUGGCAGGCUGGAGGCUGGGAGAGGGAAGCGGAAUUUCUGGUGUAGCGGUGAAAUGCGUAGAUAUCAGAAGGAAGGCCGGUGGCGAAGGCGGCUUCCUGGAACAGUCCUGACACUGAGAGACGAAAGCGUGGGGGGAGCAAACAGGAUUAGAUACCCUGGUAGUCCACGCCCUAAACGAUGGGUACUAAGUGUGGAGGGGUUAAACCCUCCGUGCCGCAGCAAACGCAGUAAGUACCCCGCCUGGGGAGUACGGCCGCAAGGUUGAAACUCA